rnacentral:rRNA from 1 species
AUACGGAGGAUCCGAGCGUUAUCCGGAUUUAUUGGGUUUAAAGGGAGCGUAGGCGGAUUGUUAAGUCAGUUGUGAAAGUUUGCGGCUCAACCGUAAAAUUGCAGUUAAAACUGGCAGUCUUGAGUACAGUAGAGGAGGGCGGAAUUCGUGGUGUAGCGGUGAAAUGCUUAGAUAUCACGAAGAACUCCGAUUGCGAAGGCAGCUCACUAGACUGUUACUGACACUGAUGCUCGAAAGUGUGGGUAUCAAACAGGAUUAGAUACCCUGGUAGUCCACACAGUAAACGAUGAAUACUCGCUGUUUGCGAUAUACAGUAAGCGGCCAAGCGAAAGCAUUAAGUAUUCCACCUGGGGAGUACGCCGGCAACGGUGAAACUCAAAUGAAUUGACGGGG